rnacentral:lncRNA from 1 species
GGGGGAGGAACAGAGAAAGAAAGGAGAGAAGAGAGGGGAGGAAGAAGGAGAACAAAACAAAAAAACAGAGGAGAGAGAGAGGAAGAACCGAAAGUAGAGAGAAACCGAGAGGAGAGAAAAACAUAAAAAAUAACAGAGGAAAGAAACACAGACUGAGAGAAGAGAGGGAGGUGAAGAAAAAGAGAAGAUCGAAACAUAGAAAAAAAAAGGAAACGGACGUCCGGAACAGCUGCAGCGCCACCUGGAACCGCCGUCCGUGGGCUACGCCUCCGCCACAGCGCCGCCAGAAACGCAGCAAGCCACCGCCUCCUCCGCGCCAGGUAACCCUUCUCCCUCCCCUAUUCUGGCGUUUCUUUAUUUCCUUCUCUGCAUGCAGAACGAAUAGCGUUCUGCAUGCAGGGGCGGGGGGAAAUUAAUUCCCCUCGCCCGUUUUGUUGCUGGGUCAGGCGGG